rnacentral:tRNA from 1 species
GAAUUGGAAGCUAAUUUUCAGCAUUGGUCUUGUAAAUCAAAGAUAGAGAACUUCUCUCAAUUCU